rnacentral:rRNA from 1 species
AGCUUGCUCCCGGAUGUUAGCGGCGGACGGGUGAGUAACACGUGGGUAACCUGCCUGUAAGACUGGGAUAACUCCGGGAAACCGGAGCUAAUACCGGAUAGUUCCUUGAACCGCAUGGUUCAAGGAUGAAAGACGGUUUCGGCUGUCACUUACAGAUGGACCCGCGGCGCAUUAGCUAGUUGGUGGGGUAAUGGCUCACCAAGGCGACGAUGCGUAGCCGACCUGAGAGGGUGAUCGGCCACACUGGGACUGAGACACGGCCCAGACUCCUACGGGAGGCAGCAGUAGGGAAUCUUCCGCAAUGGACGAAAGUCUGACGGAGCAACGCCGCGUGAGUGAUGAAGGUUUUCGGAUCGUAAAGCUCUGUUGUUAGGGAAGAACAAGUGCGAGAGUAACUGCUCGCACCUUGACGGUACCUAACCAGAAAGCCACGGCUAACUACGUGCCAGCAGCCGCGGUAAUACGUAGGUGGCAAGCGUUGUCCGGAAUUAUUGGGCGUAAAGGGCUCGCAGGCGGUUUCUUAAGUCUGAUGUG